rnacentral:rRNA from 1 species
AUGGCGGCGAAGGAGGCUGACGGGGACCGCUUCAUCGAGAUGGUAUCGGCGGGGGCGCUUUACCGCGGCGGCGAAUGGGAGCGCAAGUACUGGAGCUGCUCAAGGGGCAAAGAUCGGUACCCGUACCCAGUGGGCUAUCACGCCGUCCGCCAUUUCUCCGGGAUAUCGUACGCCAUGGAGAUCCGGCAAGGACCCAGAGGGCCUGUAUUCCAGGUCACAUCCACCGAGGGAGAUUGCGCGACAGGCCAGACACCGGAUAUAGCUUGGAAGAACUUCCACAAGAAGACAGGGGCCAAAGUCAGGGACUGGCAGAGGCUGGGGAGCUUCCCUCAGAAGAUUGACGGUGUCGAGCUUUUUGGGUUCAAAAAUGCAUCUGUUCAGAGACUGCUUCGUCAGCUUCUAGUAGAUUCGACUGGAUUUGGAAUAGACAUGCCUUCUCCAAAAAUUUAUGGUGCUGCUUCACCGUCAACUGAUACGGUUGCAGCUGAUGUUUCUGAUGAUCACAAAGAGCAGCAUGUUUGUUUGGACAAGACAGUUGUAACUGCUAAAAGAAGUAUGAACCCGAUCCAGGAGGAAGGUACUGCUAAGAGAGCCCACAACCAGGAUAUGUUGACUUCAGUUGAUAACAGCACAGUAGAGUUGGAUAAAUCUGCUCGUCAAAGUUUCAACAAGGGAGAUCCUGUAAGCAACUCACAGUUGUCUGUUGUUUCUACUCCAAUAUGCAUGCCUCCAUUGCUGGAGGAAAUACCCUGUGAUUCAAAAUGCACUCUGGUUAAUGAUAAUUUGGGAGAUUAUGUUCCAAAUUCAUCUCAGGAAGAUGGUUUAUCUUCCAGUUCUUAUUUAGGCUCUGAAAAGUCUGACUUGGAAGCAGCAGAGAAGGAAGUAGCUAGGUCUAUGAUGACAUUUUUGCUUCCCCAAGCUAUCCCCCUUCUGGAGAAAACUUACAGAAGAAGGAAGGUUAAGCAAAAAAAGAAAGAAGAUGCAGUUUUAGCGAGAAGUGUUGCAGCUCAAAAUCCCUCUGCUGAUGGUUGCAAAGCAGGUGCCACUUCGCCUACAAGUGUUGGUGAAGGGAAUAUGAAUGGCUCUCAAACACAUGUACACAAGGAACCUCUGUGUGAGGCGGUUAAAGACAUCGGUCCUAAUGAUGAUUGCAUGAAAGAACAGAUCUCUAAAUCAGACGACAUGAAAGCCGUUGUCGCAGAUAGUUUUGAGGAUGAUGGACAGAUUGGGGGUGACAGCAGAUCCAAACCUACGGGUGCUCACCAUGAGUUUGAUGAUGCAUGCUCUAAGGAACCUAACGAGAACUUAAAGUUGUUAAAGAGCACAAGGGAAAGUCAUGCUCAAUUUUCUGAGAGUCAGGUUGAGGUACACAAUAGAAAGGAUAUUCCUGAUGUAGUAUAUGAUCAUGAGAAAGGUCAGUAUGUUUUGUCUGAUUCGCUCCUUGCUUGUCUAGAGGAAGAGUUUGGCAUGGAUGAUAGUUCCCACCCCGCGCACUACAAUCAUGGUAACAGCAAUGUUGAACCAGUGCAACGCCAACAGCAGUUGAAGGACCCAAAAGAAGGCAACAAUGGCUCUUCAAUAUCCACAGACAGGGCAGGUGACAAGAACAUGGGCAAUGGACACGAUGUUUCUCAUGCACUUUCAAACAUUAAUCAUGUGAAUGGUCUACUAUCCAAACACCCAGGAACAUCAGCAAGAGGAUCAGAUCAUCAUCUAGAACUUAUGGGCUGCUACCUGCACCCGAUGCCCGUCUUGUCUAUCAUGCUGAACACCAAAGACAGUAGCAGCUUACAUAUUUAUGUACUUUGUGGAUCUUCAGAGAGCUGUAAGAGAUUUCUCUACGUAUAUGACAUCACUCUUAAUGAUCACCAUGAGAAACCACCUAAUUUUGUCGGUUACACUACCCUUCUACUACCCUCAUUGGAGCAGGCUUCUACCGGGAAUUCUACACUUGGAAGAUCCGGGAUACAGUUUACACCUGAUGGGCAGUUUCUUGUCCUCCUUAGCAGUAUACGGAUACCAUGUUGCAGGAUGCAAAGCAUUGAUUGUUCAUGCUCCUUGUGUAAAGUGGAUCAGUGCGGUGACAAUUCUCUGAAAAUUGUAUCUGUUAACUUGGGCUACAUCUCGCUGUUGACCAAAUUGAUGCCUUCUGGGACAGUGUCUUGCUUUUUGAUAUCUGAGCCAAAUUAUGUUGUAGCAGCGGAAGACAGCAGAAACUUGCAUGUAUGGAUUAUGGUCACUGGAUGGAGUGUGAUCUCUGAGGAGUAUGUCAUUUCUAGUUCCGGUAAUGUGGGUCCCUCAAUACUGGAGCUUAGAAAAAUGCCAAAAAGCAGCUCUCUCAUUAUUGGCCAUGAUGGCGCAGGUGGCUUUUGUUUGUGGGACAUCUCCAAGCGAACACUUUUGUCAACUUUUGCAGCUCCAGGGAACAUCGUCUUCCAGAUUCUUCCUCUAGGCCUCUGUAGUUUACAGGAGGAUGUCGUUCAUUCUUCAGUUGAUGACAUAGAGAGAAGGUUACAAGAGAUCACAGUGAGUGAGAUGUCAGAAAAAGAUGAUGGUGAGUCCAGUCUGAUGUUAUCAGGAAAAGAUAUAGCGGUUUGGAUUAUGGUAUCUUCUGCUUCAGUAGCUGAGUACCAACAUGACCUUCAAGCAAAAGAACACAAUGCUCGAUGGAGGCUAGCUCUGCUGGCAAACAAUAAAGUUUUAAUGGGAAAUAUUUUUGAUCCAAGGGCUACUUCUGUAGAUGCCUGUGGUAAUCAUGGAUUUGCUGGAACACAUGGAGGUUUCUUCUAUAUGUGGGAAUUAUCUUCUGGGAGAAAGCUUACCAGCACACAGUGCUUCAAUUGUGCUCGAGUUUCCUGUGUUGCUGUUGAUGCCAAAUCAAGCGUAGUGGCAGUAGCUGACGAUGGCUGCCAGCUAUUACUUUACGCUCAAAAGAGGGUGUAA